rnacentral:rRNA from 1 species
UACGAAGGCCCCAAGCGUUAUCCGGAAUUACUAGGCGUAAAGCGUCUGUAGGUGGAGUGGAAAGUUUGGUAUGAAAUGUCAGGGCUCAACCCUCGACGCAGUACCGAAAACUUCCACCCUUGAGUGAGGGAGAGGUAAGCGGAAUGGUAUGAGUAGGAGUGCAAUCCGUUGAUACAUACUGGAACACCAAAAGCGAAGGCAGCUUACUGGAACUCUACUGACACUGAGAGACGAAAGCGUGGGGAGCGAAAGGG